GACAGAGGUCCCGAGCGUUAUGCGGAAUCACUGGGCUUAAAGCGUGUGUAGGCGGAUCGUUAAGUGCCUUGUGAAAUCCCAUGGCUUAACCAUGGAACUGCUUGGCAUACUGGCGGUCUUGAGCCACUUAGGGGCAACCGGAACAAAUGGUGGAGCGGUGAAAUGCGUAGAUAUCAUUUGGAACGCCAAUGGUGAAAACAGGUUGCUGGGAGUGUGCUGACGCUGAGACACGAAAGCCAGGGGAGCGAACGGG
rnacentral:rRNA from 1 species